AUUAAUGGAAAAUGAUUGCAAGUGGAAUGAAAAAUGGACCGCCCUGUGCCAUACAGCAACAGCCUCCCCUGACAACUUAUUUCUGGGGUGUCCAAAACCAUCCAGUGGACUGGACCUGGCCUGUUCAAUGAUACGAAGCACAACGUCUUCUGGUGAAAAACUUGCCAGGAGAAACAGUCAAUCUGCAAAUGGAGAAUGGAGAACAAAGAUGCAAGUAUUAAUCUUGAGGGAAGACAGGAGUGAUAUUUUGGAAAUGAAAACAUAAUCCAAAAAUAUAUCUUAAAAAAAGAUAAUAUUGUCCUUUUUAUCAAACCAUGGUUCAUCAGGAAGCAUAUUAUCCAUAAGAGUGGACUUUUCUACAUCAGCAAGACCAAACGCAGACUGGGCAAUCGUUUCGCUGAAUAUGUUCGCUCGGUCCGCCUGGACCUACUUGAUCUACCAGUUGCCAAACACUUUAAUUCCCCUUCCCAUUCCCACAUUGACUUUUCUGUCCUACGCCUCCUCCAUUGUCAGAGGCCAAAAUUCAAAUUUGAGGAACAGCAUCGCAGUUUAAAACCCAGUAGUAUGAAUAUUAAUAUCUCUAACUUCAAGUAACCCUUGCAUCCCCCUCUCAAGUCGUACCAACUUAAGUAAUCUUGUUGAGUCUCAUUGUCUACACUCAUUUUCACUGAGACCACAGCUAACAAUGGCCAGUUUCCCUUAUCAUCGUUACUUUUUGGAAUAUUUUUCAUUAAUUUGUUCUAUAUCUCUUUAC